UUUACCUGACACAUAAUUUAAGAAAAACUAACGAAGACUAUUAAAUCUUAUGAUGUUAAAUCAAAACAUAUGGAAUGUACGAAAGUACAAGUAACAUAAAAAAAUGAAAUCGACUAAAAUAAUGGGAGAAAACAAACUUUUUAUUAUUAGAUCGGCAGAUUCGUAAUUUGAGGACCAAAGGGUGGCUUCAAUUAAAGUAUUGUGGAGAAACAAGAACAUAGAAGAGGUGACCUGAGAAGUUGAGGAUGGCAUGAGAGCCAUAGUGCUUAGCUUGUCAUGUCAUACUGUGAGACCCUUAGGUUAGAAUUUCAGACCUGAGAAGUUGAGGAUGGCAUGAGUUGUUGGAGAUGUUAAUGAAUGUUGAUUGUGGCUAUUGGAUAGUGUGUAGGGAUUGGAAGUCUGUUUAUGUCAUGGAUAAUGGAUAGGUUUCUAAGGGUUGAAGAUGAAGCUUUGGUGAGUCCUCAUAGAUUUGAGAACAAGACACACAUGUUCAUUUUAUGUAUUUUAGUCUUUAUUUCAUGUCUUGUAUGGGCUUAUUACCAAAUGAUGUAUUCUAAAGUACAGAUGGUUUAAUGAGACAUUGUAAAGGUAGAAUUUUU